UAUAUUCUUAUUACAGAACUAGAUUUUAACCCGCGGUACACCGCGGAGACAAUUUAUAUUUUAAAGUUAGUAUAUAUAAAAAAAUUUAAAUUGUAUCUAUCUAUAAAAUAUUUUUAUUUUAUAAUUUACAAUUGUUAUUAAGUAACGUCCUUCCAAACCCGUCUCGCCAAACCCGUCCCGUAAAAAAACUAUUAUUUUAUUAAUGUUAAUCUUAUUUAUGAUAUGUUUAUGAAUCAUUGUCUAAAUAUUUUAGUCGAUGUGGGACGUUCAAAUUCACACAUUUUUUGCCAAUUGGUUAAUAUAUGUUUAUUUUUAAAAUUUUGAAUCACAAAAUAUGACGGAAAGAAUUGAGAUUUUUUUAAACUCUAUAUAUUAUAU
rnacentral:sRNA from 1 species